rnacentral:rRNA from 1 species
AUUGAACGCUGGCGGCAUGCCUUACACAUGCAAGUCGAACGGCAGCACGGGAGCAAUCCUGGUGGCGAGUGGCGAACGGGUGAGUAAUAUAUCGGAACGUGCCCAGUCGUGGGGGAUAACGUAGCGAAAGCUACGCUAAUACCGCAUACGAUCUAUGGAUGAAAGCGGGGGAUCGCAAGACCACGCGCGAUUGGAGCGGCAGAUAUCAGAUUAGGUAGUUGGUGAGGUAAAGGCUCACCAAGCCGACGAUCUGUAGCUGGGCUGAGAGGACGACCAGCCACACUGGGACUGAGACACGGCCCAGACUCCUACGGGAGGCAGCAGUGGGGAAUUUUGGACAAUGGGCGCAAGCCUGAUCCAGCAAUGCCGCGUGCAGGAUGAAGGCCUUCGGGUUGUAAACUGCUUUUGUACGGAACGAAACGGCGAGCUCUAAUACAGUUUGCUAAUGACGGUACCGUAAGAAUAAGCACCGGCUAACUACGUGCCAGCCGCCGCGGUAA